AGUAAAGAAUUUCCGUUAAAUCCUCCGUUGUGCCGCCGCCGCCAAUUCUUGAUACGUUGGGUUAGAUUUUUGGAGGGUUUAUUGGAGAGAUCAUAUUUGCAGCUUAGACUUCUAGGAGCUUUCAUCCUACACAAAUAUGCCGUCGAAGGGAAAGAAGAACGCAAAGACACUCUCUAGAUUGUCUAACUCAAACCACUCUCAAUCUCCUGUGUCACGGUUCACAAUACCUCCUGUCUCUCAAGUUUCUGAAGAUGAGUUUCUUUCCUCCAUUGAAGAAGCUUCAAGUAAAUAUCCUUUUUUUAUUAGCAAAUCUGCUUUUGUUGGAAGACUUGUUAAGGAUCCAGUUCAAUCUACUGGCUGUAAAGUUUGGCUUUCUGAACCUUCUAUGCUUGCUUCUAGCUUCACCCAAGGGGCUAUUGUCUCGGUAGCACUUAGUUCCGAGGGAGGUAACUUUCCUCUGUCCUCACUAGCAGAUGAAUGUGGUAUGCACUUUGGGGUUGAUUAUGGAGAUUCAAUAAUCCAUGAAGCGGGAAAUUACUUUGCUCUUGCGAGAAUUUUCUCCUGUGGUAAGGAGUUAAAUGAUGGAGUGCAAUUAUCAACGAACCUUUCAUUUACCUUGGGUUGCCCUACAAUUGGCCGUGUUGUGUUUAUCUCUCCUUUGAAAACCCAUCUUUGCAAUGAUCCAGUAAAUGAUAAUGGUAAAUUGAAGAGCACAGAAGUUGACUUUUUGAGAAUAUACAAUUGUAAGGAACUGUUUCUGGAUCUAGCGUCAUCAACCAAUGUAUCAACAAAAGACAACUUAUUCUCAUCCUCAACUAUUUAUUCAAGAAAGGUUCAAGGUCGUAGUGAAAAUGGUAAUUUAACAUCCCCAAGCACCAUGCUGUCUGCUUCUCCUAAAUUUGAUGAGGUGGUAUCAAACUUACCAAGUCCAUUUGCUCAUUCACUUAUUAAGGAGUCCUUAGGAGAUGAUACCGUCAGAAAAACUCUACAGACAAUUGCCUCCAAUGAGUUGUAUAAACGUUGUGUGCUACGUGGUAACCUUGUAACUAUCCCAGUGCUUUCAGAUCUUUGUACAUUUCAUGUAAAGGGUGCGAAAGGACUGUCAGGAUAUGAUGACUCUUAUGAUUCUGUGCACAGUGGAAGCAACAAUCAUUUUCAACAUUUUUCAUCAGAUGAAUAUGCGAAUUGUGCUUUUAGUAUAAACCAGUUGACAAAAGUAUUUAUAAAUGUCCAAUCAACCAUGGUCUCAGAGACAAUUCAAGAAACUUUUCCAUCAAAUGUGGAACCUCAAAGUCUAAGUAUCAGAGCUAAAGUAAAGCCUAAAGUUUGGAAAUUGGGUGGUCUUUCAAAAGAAUAUUCAGUUUUGAAGGAUAUUAUAAUUGCUUCAUCAUUAAAUAGCACCGUGUCAAGCCUUGGUUUUCGAACCACAAAGGGAGUACUUCUUCAUGGUCCUCCUGGUACCGGAAAAACUUCCUUGGCUCAAUUAUCUGCUCAUGAUGCUGGUGUCAACCUGUUCUAUUUGAAUGGACCUGAAAUUAUAAGUCAAUAUCAUGGGGAAAGUGAACAGGCGCUGCAUGAUGUUUUUGAGGAGGCAAGCCAAGCUGCACCUGCUGUGAUAUUAAUUGAUGAGUUGGAUGCUAUUGCACCUGCAAGAAAAGAUGGAGGUGAAGAGCUGUCUCAAAGAAUUGUAGCUACACUGCUUAAUCUAAUGGAUGGGAUCAAGCGAAGUGGUGGGCCACUUGUAAUUGCUUCUACCAACAGACCUGAAAGCAUUGAGCCUGCACUAAGGCGGCCUGGGAGACUUGACCGGGAAAUUGAAAUAGGCGUGCCAUCUCCCAACCAACGGUUGGAUAUUCUACAUACAAUACUUAGUGAAAUGGAGCACUCUCUUUCAGUCGUGCAAGUUCAACAUCUAGCUAUGGUCACACAUGGUUUUGUGGGUGCUGAUUUGGCUGCCCUUUGCAAUGAGGCUGCCUUAGUUUGUAUAAGGCGUUAUCAAAAGUUUAAAGUUUCUUCUUCUAAUUGCCAUAGUUUUGGUAGAUCUGUUAUAGCAGAGGAACAGCACAAGUUUAAUGAGGUGGCUCACAAAGCCAAUGACGAUCAUAUGAUAUUGGAACCUGAUAUCUUACAAGAUGAAGGAAGUAUAUCCGGGGUUUGCCAAAAGCUUGCAUCUUCAUCUAUCUCUGAACAUACUUUUACAUCUGACCCAGUAACAUGUGUGUCCUUGAAUGAAGUGAUUGCUGAUAGCGAGGAUAGUUUUAACUCUUCUGAAAUCAAGUGUAAAUUGAAGGUUGUUUUUGAAGACUUUGAGAUAGCUAGAAUGAAAGUGAGGCCUAGUGCCAUGCGAGAGGUCAUACUUGAGGUUCCAAAGGUAAAAUGGGAAGAUAUUGGUGGACAAAUGGAGGUUAAGGCUCAAUUAAUGGAAACAGUGGAAUGGCCUCAAAAACAUCAGGAUGCAUUCAAACGAAUAGGGACACGACCUCCAGCAGGAGUGUUAUUGUUUGGUCCUCCUGGAUGUAGCAAAACCCUCAUGGCACGUGCUGUAGCUUCUGAAGCAGGACUAAAUUUCCUUGCAGUGAAGGGCCCAGAACUUUUCAGUAAAUGGGUUGGUGAAUCUGAGAAGGCAGUUAGAUCUCUGUUUGCUAAGGCAAGAGCUAAUGCCCCAUCAAUCGUGUUUUUUGAUGAAAUUGAUGGUCUUGCUGUCAUUCGUGGGAAGGAAAGUGAUGGGGUUUCUGUCUCUGAUAGAGUUAUGAGUCAACUUCUUGUUGAAUUGGAUGGCUUACAUCAGAGAGUUGGUGUCACUGUCAUUGCAGCUACCAAUCGGCCAGAUAAGAUUGAUCCAGCCCUUCUAAGGCCAGGACGUUUUGAUCGGCUACUUUAUGUUGGGCCCCCAAAUGAAUCUGAGCGAGAAGAGAUAUUUCGUAUCCAUUUGUGCAAAGUUCCUUGCAGCCCAGAUGUCAGCACGAGGAAGUUGGCUUCUCUUACUCAAGGGUGUACCGGGGCUGACAUAUCAUUAAUUUGCAGAGAAUCAGCUUUACUUGCCCUUGAGGAGAACCUUGAGGCGUCAAUAAUAAGUAUGCAACAUUUAGAGACUGCAGCUAGACACGUGAAGCCAUCUGAAACUGAACCUUACCGAGAAUUAUCAUCCAGGUUUCAAAGGCUUGUUUGUUCUAGCUCACAAGAAGUUAAUGUUGUGUGUCAGCAGUCACGAUCUAACUGGUUUUCUUUUUGCAGGCCCCUUGUAAAAUCAGCUGUGCUACUCUUUUCUCGUGUUCGUCACAUGCUUGAAGGCUUGAAAUGAGCAGCAACAAAUUGGUUGGUAUUUGCACAUUGUCUUCAAGGAAUUGUUGUGUCGUGUAAUGUAAUUCAACCAAAAACAAGGGUUGGUUAUUUCAAGUGCUGAGUUUGGAAUCAUAUAUAAUGAUCCUACUAUUGCAUCGCCCUUGCAAAAUUGAGCUGUUUAAUAUGAGGUUCUUGGAGGAUGAAGAUGACAUUUACGAAUUGUGGGCUGGGACGAUUUCAUUCACCAAUGGCAUUGCAUGUAUCCUGCUCUGAAGGUUUUUUUAGUACAAAGCAGAUGGAGAAAUUUGAACCAUUGGUCUCUUGUCCUUAGCUCAUCCCACAUUGCUUUCAUACCAUUAGAUUGACAACUAAUUGCUACUUUUGUAGAGCGAUGAGACACACGGAGAGUUAAUCGCUGCUGUACCACAUUAACUGAAAUAAUGAACCAAGAUUGUGUACAUUUAUGUUAUGAUCUAAUAGGUGUUACAUGUACCUAUUAAGUUAAAAGGAGAUCACUCUAGCUUUCUAAUAGUAUGAAUAUGCGGUAGAAAGAUAAACCGUCAUAUCAUUUAAAGGUCAUAUCAUACAACCAACUUUGUAGAUUAUUUGGGAGUUGUAUAACACUUUCAUUUGAAGACUGUCAUACCAUACUACUAUUUCAAUGGAUGACAAGUAGGUUUCUAAUGAUUUGUAUUUUCUUCU